rnacentral:rRNA from 1 species
GAUAAACGCUGGCGGCGUGCCUAACACAUGCAAGUCGAACGCUCUUGGCAACAAGAGAGUGGCGGACGGGUGAGUAACACGUGGGUCAUCUACCCUUAGGUGAGGAAUACCGGCGAGAAAUCGCCGACAAUACCGCAUACGUUUCGUCAGAAACAAAGUCGCAAGACGCCUGAGGAUGAGCCUGCGCCCGAUUAGUUUGUUGGUGGGGUAAAAGCCUACCAAGACUGCGAUCGGUAGCUGGUCUGAGAGGACGAUCAGCCACACUGGGAUUGAGAAC